rnacentral:tRNA from 1 species
UCCUUGGUGGUCCAAUGGCUCAGACUCUGAUCUCCCAAUGCAGGGAGCCUGGGUUCAAUUCCUGGUCAAGGAA